UAUAGAAUAUCACACUCUAAUGUUGAUCUCGGACCUGGGAUUGGCCCCGAGAAGUGAUCUCGGCCCGAGCCCGUAGGGCGAGGGCCGAGAUCACUCGAGGGGCAAUCCCAGGUCCGAGAUCAACAUUAGAGUGUGAUAUUGUUUAUAUCAUAUACCUAAAACACAACAAGUUGAUAAACUUUUUUUUUUAAAUUGGGGGGGGAUUGACCCAAGCAUAAAUACAUGAUAUACUGUACAACGAUAUUUGACUAUUUCAUUCCUUCAGUGAGUUUACUUUAAUGGUUACGUUUCCAGUACUAUUGGUAUUGUGAAACAUACUAAAGUCUGGGUUUUGUAGCUUUAUUCCAUUGCUGGUCACGAUAAUUGGAUGAUUAAUUAUGGGUCCACAUCCCCUCAUGUGGUCUAGAAUUAACUGAACUGCUUGGCUGAGAAACUCGUCAUAUCUAUCGUUGUGUUGUUCAUGUACAUGUAUAUUCUAUUAAGCAGCUCCUAGGGGCUUGCUAAUUGAUACUAAAAUUGGAAAUAAGUGAAUUAUUUUUAUUUAUUUUUUCGGAUUUACCAAACUCGCCCGUUUUCAAUAUUUCAUAUAAUUUGUAAGAGUUGUAGAACUUUGUUUACGUGGCGUCAUCGUAUGAACGGGAAUGUUUACAGUUCUGAUGCUGCUAUUUCUUUGCUUAAGGAAUGCUACCUUAUACUGAAGGUUUCGUUUCGUUCCAAUGCCGUUCAUUCGAAGAAAAAGAUGUUUUUACACCUCCAAGUGUCUAAGAAUUUCGCUAGACUGUCUUACUUCCGGUUUAAUCGCACCGAAUCGAAAGAAUAACCAUUCCCUACCAUUGCGAUUGGGUGACUUUGGCCUUUGGAGCUGAAAAACAAUAGGGACGAUGCUAAAGCCAUUGAACCUCUUCACGUGAAGUUCCAGUGCUAAAUCUUAAAACGUGUUUGAGAUCUCGUGAAACAAUUUCUAUGUAAGACCUAGUGAACUUGACCUUAUGACUACCAUCUGGAAACCGUUUCUUGUGCUAUGUAAACAGUACCUUGGACCAGCUCCUGACCUCACAAAGAAGAGGGACCAUCCUUCUUAAUUAGUCAAAGUCGUAGAGAUUCUUCAGACGAAAUUCCAUUUCUAAAACUUAAAUGGUAUUUCAGGAAUGACGGUGUUACAGACACAACUGAAAUUGAGCCGAAACAGAGCAUAUCAACAUAUUUAUAAGUGCAUGGAGUAAUUGUCCGGAGAAGUAAUUGUCGGGGUAAAUAAUUGUCCGGAUAAGUAAUUGUCGGUGUAAGAAAAAUCGAGAAAUGACGGAAUUAUCGUGGUAGGGGUAUAUUUGAACUGAAGGAUGUAAUUCACGGCGGAUUGCUGUGUGUUGUGAAGAAGUACAAAUAUUAGUGUGACAUAUAAAAGCAAUUGCAUAUAAGUUUUUGUUUUUAUCAGCGUUUGGAAUGAACUUUCAAAUAUCAGAGGUCAGUUAUCAUUAAUAUCAUACACUUUGACUUCCUGACAAUUUUAGGUCAAUGCCAUAACGAUAAUAUGCCAUAACGAUAAUUUAGCGACCUGAGAAGUAUUUCUCGAGGAGCAAAAUUAUCGUAUUGAUCGAGAAAAUGUCAAUAAUUGUUCUAUUAUGUACGAUUGAAUAAUUGAAACUGCCCACUAGAGCCUACGAUUGAUUGUAUCUUGUUUAAUUUCCCUCUCGAGAAUGUUUCACUCAUAUGGAGACGUCACGGCCACCAAUGCCGAUGAAUGGCUUCAAAAUUUAGUCCUUUGCUCGGCGCUUAGGCCAACGACAAAAAUUGUUGAGUUUCCGCUAACGUUCCAGAAAAAAAUAGGGUAGGUAGGUAGGAAAUAAUUAUUUUUUUUUUUUUAAAUUUUAUUUUUUCAAAGUAUAAGAAAACAUUGUAAACUCUAACAAGUUCAAUGAUCCAUUGAAUGUUAUACUUUCAAUAUAAAAUUUUGCUUAAAUUGCAUUGCAAGUAAACUUUCAAUCUUAGCAUUUCACCUGUUAUUGGCUAAGGAUUAUUUCCAGAUGUUUUAGAAGAAACAAUAUUUUUCAAUGAAACAUAUAGCAUAAAACACAAAUUAAAAUUAAAGUUAACUCCUUUAUGCCCCUAUGCUAUACAAGUACCAGCUAUAUUGUUUCUACAUUUAGAUUGGUUGUCAUGGGAAUACUACUGUUGGAUAUGUUUGACAGGAAAAUAAUAUAAUUUUGAAAAAAAAUAUUAAAAAAUCACCAAAAUAUCAACAUCAUUAACAUAUUUUAAGUUUAUUAAUUCAUUUCUGAAUGUACUUUCACAAUCUAAAUGGAACAAGGGUAGGAAGACAGUCUGGGCAGAUUCCACUUAUACUAAUGGGAUCCAACUCUCUUCCAGCUAACACUUUUUACCGGACAUAAAUUUUUAUUUAAAAAAAAAAGUCUGCACAUCUCCCCCCCUCCCCCCUCGGCUCUCAACAGCCAUCAACAACUCGGAUGCGUUCACUGCUUUAUUUGUGGCCUUUUUCAUAGUGUAUUAAGUUAGAUCUGCAGCAGAAACCAUGGAUGUGCAUACAAAUUUGAUAGACUGGACAUUCAAGUGCACUAUAUAAUGUCUGUCACUCUGCAUCAUGACCUCCAUAAAAACACCAUAGGAGUUGGCAAUUUUAACAAAAGAAAGUCUUCUAUGGAAACAUGACACUUGGCAAAGUCUUUCGGCCGUCUGUUAACUUCAAUUGUCAAAGCACCGUUGCGUGAGGCAAGCAUGAAGGUACAGUACUAGGUCAACCAUCAUGCCAUGCUGUUAGUUACAAACAUUAUCAAUGUUGUUUAAACGCUUGACACAAUACCAUGCAAUUUUGUACAUCGUUAAAGCGUUUGAAUGACUUCAUCUCAAUGUCUAACUAAAAAGAAAACUAAGAACCGAGAAUAUAUUUUUUCCGGAAAAAUGACGAAUUUUUUUUUCAAAUUAGCGGAAAAAAAUUCUAGGGUCAGGGCUAUAAUUUAGGGUCGGUCGGGUUAGCGGAAACACAACAUAUUUUAUCAGUGGCCUUACGGUCAUUGAGCAAUGAGUGUUCUUUAGCGUGCCACGCCUACUGUGACACGGGACGUCAUUUUUAAAGGUCAUCUUCGAGGACAUUCACACCUGAUGUCGAGCGUUUGGUGAUGGAACUGUCACUACCUGAUUUAACGACUUAGGUCUGUCGCGGCCGGGAUUCGAACCCCGACCUUCCGCAUGCAGGUCGAACGCUCUACCUCUAGACCACUACGGCGGUCCUACGAAAAGACACCUUUUCAGCCAUCUUUGUUUACAGCUAGAGUGAAAGACUUAGUCGAAAGUGAUUAGAAAAAGAAAAACCCAAUCGUAUCCAUUUGGGAAUAUUUUUGGUUCGAUGUUGGAGCAUUCAACUCGAAUAGGGGCGAAUGUAACGUUCUAAUGUUUUUCUAGUUUGACGGAUCUAAUGUUUUUCUAGUUUGACGGAUCUCAGCCAAUCAAAAAGAGAGGCAAAAUUUGUAUCGACGUCUAUAAUGGGAAAUGUCCCAUUGCAUCGUAACAUGGUGUACGUGUGCAUAUAUUGUAGUGUAUCGUAUUACACUCACUUGGAUAUUGUCUGGUAGACUCUUCUCACUAGAGGACGUGUUACGCAAGCUUCACUUUUGAACAAUCUGCCAACGUCUUGAAAAUAGUUCCCUCAUCAAGUGAAUUAACAAUAGAAAUAAUGAAUAAAAACUCACAGUCAUGUAAACAACUGUAAUGUGGCAAGCACAUCUGUGAAAACAGAUUAACUGACUCGUGUGACUAAUGUAUAACAGAUGGAAAACAACAGAAAACUGAAACCCUGCAAAUGAAUUGUACUUGUUUGAUAUUCUCUACCCAGAGUUAACGUUCUUUACACUGACAAAUACCUCUGUCAACAAGAUUCUUGAAAGAAAGAAAAAACGGGAAAAAAUAUUCAAAUAAAAUUGCUUUCAACUUUAGUUGCAAGGAUCAAUAAUCAGCAAAUUUCAAGUCUGUCUGUAACACAAGGAGGGGAUAUUGUUCCAUUACACUAUAUAGACAGAUAUGUAAUGGGGAAAUAAAAACUACAAUAAGUUGUUUGUCCUAGGCUACAAUUUCCUGAUCAUUAUAUAUUUCCUGAAAUAUUUUUUAAUUCUAUUUUAUUAACCGUAAAAAAGAAAAUGGAUUAACGCGUGGAAUAACACUGUUUUUGUUUUUGAGAAGUCGAAGGUUAAUAAAUCAAGCGUAGCAUCAUGGUGUAUGGAGUUGCGUAUGAUUCGGUCCAACUCUCCCACAGGUAAUUUUUUUCUUACCGUGUAAACUACAAUAUGAAAAUUCCGAUUCUCUGCGCACAUGGGUUUGUUUAUUUUAAUGAGGAAGUUGGUGCUCACGGUAGAGUCCGAAGUUUAGGGAAAUAAUAAGCGGAAGCCACGUGAUCUAAUUAAAUCUAAACAACUACUAGUAUUAGUUGAUUAUUUUAUUAUCUGUCGAAAAGCAUAACCGGAAUUUAUUGAAGUCACUAUUAAAAGUUGAAUCUGGUACCAAAAAAAAGUUGAUAGAUGUAUGGGUGAAGCUUGAGCAACACCUCCGUGGGCGAGAGACGUGGACAGUUUGGUUUUAAUUUAUAUGAAACGAAACGAAACUAACGAAAAUCCGAGAUAUCCAAUCAUGGUAGUUUCUAAAACUAAUUCGUCAGGUGUAAUUCAUGCCGGUGGUUAUUAAAAAAUUCAUUACAUACGUUAGACAUGUUAGAAUUCAUGGAUUAUCAUUUAAAACCAUUACCUCUUUAUCCUGUCGUGUUUGCAUGGAUCUUGAUGCCGGAAUUCCCUCACCAAAC